rnacentral:lncRNA from 1 species
CUUCCGGUCCACAUCAUAAUGCCUUCCGGCCCAUAUCAAGCAUAGCAUCCAUAUCACAUACAUAGUGCAUACAAAACAGGCAACUCAUAGCAUACGAUACAUAUAUCUCAUAGCAUACCAGACCUUCCGGUCACACAUAGGUACCCUUCCAGGUACAGUAUAGUGAGAAGACUCACCUCAGUUGUCUCGGUAAAUCUCUGACUUGGUAGAAAUACGAUCUAGCCUCCGCCUAAUCACAUAAAGUAAACAUUCUCAUAAAUAUAUCUCUCGGGACUAGACUCAACCCUCUCUUGGCACCCUCAGAAGGGCAAAAGACCAUUUUACCCCUCUUUGACUCAAAGGCCACAAUGUUGACCAAAUCCUAGAAGUCAACAAAAGUAAACGGUCAAACUUUGACCCGACUCGUCGAGUGCACUUGGGCAACUCGGCGAGUCUACACAUGUCCACUAACUCUUUAGUCUCGCUUGGCACGUCGAGUUCCUCCCCUUGCUCGACGAGUCACACCGGGAAUGAAUCGCGGGGCCACCCCGACUCAACUCGACGAGUCUCAAUAUCAACUCGACGAGUUCCGCUUUGAACUCUAGUCCUCUAAUCCCCCCCUGACUCACUGAGUUAUUCCCCCAACUCGGCAAGUCCACUCACUGAUUGAUUCACGGGAAACCCUAACCCUACUCGCCGAGUCUGCCCUUGCACUCGGCGAGUUCAUGCCAUGCACAAACUCAAAUGGCCUCCUGAGGUCAAAUCUGUUCCUUGAAUCCAUAGAUCUGACCUUCCCAAGCCUGAUAAACAUGUAAAGUUCGAAUCUUGACACUCAUGGGACGUCUAGGAGGCUUCACUUGAUGAUUUAGCUCGAAAAGUAACAUCCUUAGCUCAACACCUCCAUAUCUCAACAUAAAGCAAGCUGAGAUAAGCUCUAUAGACCAUUAUGGGUCCAGAUCAGAAGUAUCAAAGUGAAUAGGGCCAUAUCCUCACAAUCUUCUCCCAAUAAAGGUCAUAAAACUCUACAUCUAUGGAUUCCUUCCACAAAACAGGUAAAGGGGCGAUAUAAUACCUCAAAGAUGAAGUCUCUUGCUCGAAAUCCACAGAUGCACAAACUCCUUGGUCUCCUCUAAGCUGGAAACACCUCCUUCUUGCAAGAAUCAACCACAAAGAUCAAGAAAUGGCUCCUAUCCUCUCACUAACGCUCUAGCUCCUUUAGGGUUUCUCUCUGGGGUUUGGUAGCCGCAAAUGACGGCUCUAAGGGCCAUUAAAUAGGUCCCAAACCCAGGAAACUAGGGUUUCAUUAAACAGCAUGGACUCGCCGAGUCCACCUCAUGAACUCGCCGAGUCCAGCCAUGAACCCGGAUAUGAAUCCGCGACCCUACUCGGCGAGUCUGAGCACCAACUCGCUGAGUCCCCUCACGACCUCCAAAAAAAUAAAAGAAUAAAAUAAUAUACUUGGGAAUCUGGAUGUUACAAUUCUCCCCCACUAGAAUCAGACUUCGUCCUUGAAGUCUUACCCUGCAAACAACUCGGGAUGCUGCUCCCGCAUCUCUCGUUCUGGCUCCCAAGUCAACUCUGACCCUUUCCGAUGCUGCCACUGGACCUGCACCAAAGGCACCUCCUUGNNNNNNNNNNNNNNNNNNNUCCCUGAUCGCCACCGGUCUCUCAACAUAGUUUAGGCUCGCAUCCACCUGAAUAUCCUCUAAUGGCACCAUUGCCGACUCGUCGGCUAUACACUUUCUCAGCUGCGAGACAUGGAAGGUGUCAUGAAUCUGACCCAACUCCGCAGGUAGCUCCAACCGGUAGGCUACCCUUCAUACUCUCGCGGUCAACCUGAAAGGAUCAAUAUAUCGGGACCUCAGAUUGCCCCUAUUCCUGAAUCGGAUCACUCCUUUCCAAGGAGAGACCUUUAGGAGCACGAAGUCGCUGGCCUGAAAUUCGAACUCGGACCGGCGCCUGUCCGCAUAACUCUUCUGGCGACUCUGAGCGGUCAACAACCUCUAUCUGACCUAUUGUAUUUGCUCUGUCGGUUGAAGCACGAUCUCUGUACUAUCCAUCACAUGCUUCCCUACCUCUCCCCAGCAAAUGGUGGUCCGACACCUCCUCCCAUACAAUAGCUCAAAGGGUGGCAUACCAAUGCUCGAAUNGAUGGUUGUUGUUGUAGGAAAACUAUGCCAAGGGCAAAUCCGUGUCCCACCUCCCGCCGAAAUCCAAAACACAUGCUCGGAUCAUGUCCUCGAGCGUCUGAAUCGUCCGCUCACUCUGCCCAUCAAUCUGUGGGUGGUAUGCGGUACUAAAAUGCAGCCUCGUACCCAAUUCCUCAUGAAAUUUCUUCCAGAAUCUGGAAGUUAAAUGCACAUCUCGAUCUGAGACAAUUGAGAUCGGCACCCUAUGCCGCGAUACCACCUCCUUUACGUAUAUCUCUGCCAACCUCUCCGUGGAAAAGCUCUCACUGAUAGCAAGGAAAUCAGCGCUCUUCGUCAACCUAUCCACAAUCACCCAAAUUGCAUCGACACCUCUCGCAGUCCUCGGCAAUUUGGUGAUGAAAUCCAUGGUAAUUUGUUCCCAUUUCCACUCGGAUAUCUCUAACGGCUGCAGCUUACCAUGUGGACGCUGGUGCUCGGCCAUUACCCUGCGACAGGUCAAGCACCUCUCUACAAACCAUGCGACAUCCCUCUUCAUAUAGGGCCACCAAUAAUCCUUCUNUCCCUCUUCAUACAAGGCCACCAAUACUCCCUCUUCAGGUCCAAAUACAUCUUAGUGGCCCCGGGAUGGAUCGAGAACUUCGAUCGAUGAGCCUCUUCCAUCAAAAUGGUACGUGUCCCGCCCAAAAACGGUACCCAUAUCCGACCCUGAAAUGUCAUAAGUCCUCGACUAUCGGUAACAAACUCUAAUACCUGCUUGAUCACCCGCUCCCUUUUGCGGUUCUCCAGUCUCACGGCCUCCGCCUGGGCCCUUCUAAUGGUAUCCAACACCGGAGUCAUCACUAUCAAUCUCAUACAAAUGUCUCGUAUCGGGGCGCUCUCCGCCCUACGGCUCAAGGCAUCGGCUACAACAUUAGCCUUGCCUGGAUGGUACAGGAUCUCACAAUCAUAAUCCUUUACCACAUCCAACCAUCUCCUCUGGCGCAUAUUCAGGUUGGGCUGAUCCAUCAAGUACUUCAGACUUUUGUGGUCCGUGUAUAUGGUACACCGAACCCCAUACAGAUAGUGACGCUAGAUCCUGAGGGCGAACACCACCGCCCCCAACUCCAGGUCAUGGGUGGGAUACCUCGACUCAUGAGGCUUUAGUUGCCUCGAUGCAUAGGCUAUCACAUGCCCCGUCUGCAUAAGCACUGCUCCCAACCCGGAUAUCGAUGCAUCACAAUACACCACAAAAUCCUCCAUCCCUUCCGGGAGUGCUAGCACUGGGGCUUCGCACAACUUCUAGCGAAGUGUCUCAAAUGAGGUAUGCUGCUCCGGACCCCAGGAGAAAGCGACACCCUUCCGAGUCAACUUGGUGAGUGGCACGGUGAUCUUGGAGAAAUCCUUAAUAAAUCUCCAAUAAUAGUCGGCCAAUCCUAAGAAGCUCCUGGUCUUGGUGGGCGAUCUCGGCAUCUCCCACCUCAUGACCGCCUCAAUCUUGGCCGGAUCGACCAAUAUCCCAUUCUAUUUGACAAGAUGUCCCAAGAACUAGACCUCUCAUAACUAGAACUCACACUUGGAGAAUUUGGCAUAAAGCCUCUCCGAUCUCAAAACUCCAAGGUUCUCCCUCAAAUGCUCCUCAUGUUGUUCUCUAGACAUCGAAUACACCAAAAUAUCAUCAAUGAAUACGAUCACCGACUGAUCCAACAUCGGUCUGCACACUCUGUUCAUGAGAUCCAUGAACGCAGCUUGUGCAUUGGUGAGCCCAAAAGGCAUCACCACGAACUCGUAAUGCCCAUAACGAGUUCUGAAUGUUGUCUUCUGGAUAUCUUCAUCCCGAACCCUCAUUUGAUGAUAACCCGACCUCAAGUAUAUCUUGGAGAACCAACACGCCCCCCACAACUGAUCGAACAGAUCAUUGAUCCUUAGCAACGGAUAACGGUUCUUGACCGUCAACUUGUUCAACUCCCGGUAAUCAAUGCACAUCCGGUGUGAACCAUCCUUUUCUUGACAAAAAGAAUCGGUGCUCCCCAAGGCGGGCUACUUGGUUGAAUAAACCCCUUCCCCAACAGCUCCUGAAGCUGCGAGGAUAACUCCUGCAUCUCUGGCGGCGCGAGGCGAUAAGGCGCCUUGGCGACAGGUGCUGCUCCCGGAAUCAAAUCGAUACGGAACUCCACUUGCCUCUUGGGAGGCACACCCGACAAUUCCUCGGGAAAAACAUCCGGGAACUCGCACACUAUCGGAACCUCAUCAAUCGAACCUGGCCUCCCAGCGGCCAAUCAUGUGUCCAUCACAUAGGCUACGAAUCCACUGCAGCCCUGCUGCAAACUCUGCCUCGCCCUGGCAGCCGAGCAAAACAAUGACCCACAUCGGGUUCCCUCGCCAUACACCGAAAGUACUCCCCCCACUAGGGUCUCGUAUCGUCACCAACUAACGCUCGCAGUCUAUAACAGCUCUGAAUCGGCUCAACCAAUUCAUGCCCACUAUAACACACAUGUCCCCCAUCGCAAUCGGAACCAGAUCUAUCGGGAACUCCACACCGAAGAUCUCAAGAAUACAUCCUCGAAUCACAUCCGUAGCAUACACUGCUCACUCGUCAGCUAUGGAAACUCGCAGUGGUCGACUCAACGCCUCUCGACGGAUACUAACGUGCUGACUAAAUGCCAAAGAAACAAAUGACCGACUCGCACCCGAGUCAAAUAACACCAAAGCAGGUACAGUACUCACAAGAAAAGUACCUAUGCAUAACAUCAUAUAAGCACAAUAUCUCAACAAAAGAUAAAUACAGAAUACAUACUAGCCACAACAUCGGGCGCUGCACGGACCUCCUCCGCAGUCAAUUGGAAAGCUCUCCCACAAGCCUUCAGAGCCUCGGCCUUCACUGGUCGAACCUCGGUAACCCUAGCAGCAGGUGCAGAUCCUUGAUGCAACUGUGGACACUCGGCCUUCCGAUGGCCAGUCUGGUUACAAUGAGAGCAAACCAUAAAUCCCUUGGGGCAAUCCUUGGCGAUAUGCCCCACCUUUCCAUAUUUGUAGCAAGCACCCGAUCAACAGGCCCCCUCAUGACCAUUGCCGCACUUUCCGCAAGUGUGGCCCUUCUGGCCUCCAGUCCUCGAAUCAGCAGACGUGUUCCGCUUGGCUGCCGGCUGAGACUGAGCCGGCCGCCGAUCCAUUCUCUGAGACUCGGCCUCCUCCCUGGCCUGAGUCUCCAACUCAAUCUACCUCUUCCGGGCAUUUUCCUGGAGCUCAGCAAAUGCCUGGUACGUCGAGUUCAACACGAACUCCUGAAUGUCCCUCCUCAUAACUCCCAAAUACCGACUCAUUCGUGCCUGCUCAGUAGACACCUGCUCAGGGCAGAACAUCGCCCUCUCAUGAAACUUCCGGGUAACCACAGUAACCGAAUCAUUUCCCUGCUUGAGGGGCAAGAACUCCUGAACCAACCGUUCCCUCUCCACCGGGGGAACAUACUCGUCUCUGAACAUGGUGGUGAACCUCUCCCAGGUCACCGCUGAAAUCUCUACAAGAGUGAAGCUCGCCGUCAUGAACUUCCUCCAAUCCUUCGCUCCCAAGCGAAGCUGGUUCAAAGCGAACCGUACCCUCAGAUGCUCCGGACAUGAACACGUAUAGAAGUAUCCCUCAAUAUCAACAAUCCAUCUCAUCGCAUCGAUCGAAUCCUACGUCCCAUCAAACUCCGGUGGCUUCGUGUUGCUGAACUCCCUGAACAACAUCGAGUCACCUCCCUGAGACCUGGCNGCUGUAGCUACAGCGGCUGCAGCCUCAGUCACUGUGGCGUACCGCUCAUAGAAAUUCUCAAUCAGUGUGGUCUUGAUAGACCCAAAUAUCUCCGGAAUCUCGGCCCUAAUCGCCACAGCCACCUCAUCGUGGAUCAUCUGACGAAGCUACUCGUCACUCACACCGCUCGCCUCAGGUCUGUGGCAUGUCCCAACCAUGAUGUCUCUGAAAUAUAACACAACAAUAUCAAAGACUCAUUCGAGCAUGCUCGCACUCGGUAACUCAACCCUACUUGGUCCUUAGUAUCCAAAGGAUUCUUACUUAGAGUGCGCACUGCUCCGAUGUCUUCGGUAGUAAGGGCCCUUAUACUACCACCUACACCGCAUCAGUGUUCACCCUAAGUCCUCCUCCUUGGAUCCUAGAUCACAAGUACCCUAUAUCUCACUGGCAAAGGCUACCCUUCGGUAGACCUCUUAUCAACUACUCCCCGCUACCUACUCGCUCUCAAGCAUCACAUAGCAGCACAAUCCUUCCUAGGCUAAGGCAGAAAUCAGGCCACUCUAGUCCUAAUAUGAAUACCUAGCCAACUCUAGCAUGCAUAAUAUAACAUAUCAUAUCUCAUAACACACAACGUAAGGGCAUUUUGGGGAUUCACCGUUCGGGCGCUGGCUGACCGUACACACUGCUCCACUCUGGUUGUCUCAAAACCUCUUACAUUUUAGAAAAAUUAAUUUUUAUCAUUUGAAAAGUUUCUCAAAUCCUCGGUUUGAGUUCAGUUACGCCCGGAGGUGCAUCCAAAUCCCUCAAACCUAGGCUCUGAUACCAACUUGUAACAACGUAAAUUUUCAAAACAAAUUUUCAUUUCUUUAAAACAUAAUUUCAUUUAAGACAAACCAUAAAAUCCAAUGUAACAUGGUCAUAAUACAAAACAUAUCAAAUCCCAAGAUCAAACAUAUCCAGUCCGCCUAUGUGUGUCUGUGUACGAGUCAUGUCGGCGCCUUCCCAUGGUCCUCACUAGUACCUGAAACACAUCACACAUAACACUGUAAGCCAGAAGCUUAGUGAGUUCCCCAAUAUACCACUUACACACAUACACCUUUCCAGGCCAUACUCCACACGACCUUCCGGUCCAUGUGUCUCAGGGGACUUCCAUCCCAACCCGAUAAACCUUUCGGUCCUACCCUUUUCGACCUUCUGGUCCAUAAUUCCCUAACCUUCCGGUCCACAUCAUAAUGCCUUCCGGCCCAUAUCAAGCAUAGCAUCCAUAUCACAUACAUAGUGCAUACAAAACAGGCAACUCAUAGCAUACGACACAUAUAUCUCAUAGCAUACCAGACCUUCCGGUCACACAUAGGUACCCUUCCAGGUACAGUAUAGUGAGAAGACUCACCUCAGUUGUCACGGUAAAUCUCUGACUCGGUAGAAAUACGAUCUAGCCUCCGCCUAAUCACAUAAAGUAAACAUUCUCAUAAAUAUAUCUCUCAGGACUAGACUCAACCCUCUCUUGGCACCCUCAGAAGGGCAAAAGACCAAUUUACCCCUCUUUGACUCAAAGGCCACAAUGUUGACCAAAUCCUAGAAGUCAACAAAAGUAAACGGUCAAACUUUGACCCGACUCGUCGAGUGCACUUGGGCAACUCGGCGAGUCUACACGUGUCCACUAACUCUUUAGUCUCGCUUGGCACGUCGAGUUCCUCCCCUUGCUCGACGAGUCACACCGGGAAUGAAUCACGGGGCCACCCCGAGUCGACUCGACGAGUCUCAAGAUUAACUCGACGAGUUCCGCUUUGAACUCCAGUCCUCUAAUCCCCCCCUGACUCACUGAGUUAUUCCCCCAACUCGGCAAGUCCACUCACUGAUUGAUUCACGGGAAACCCUAACCCUACUCGCCGAGUCUGCCCUUGCACUCGGCGAGUUCAUGCCAUGCACAAACUCAAAUGGCCUCUUGAGGUCAAAUAUGUUCCUUGAAUCCAUAGAUCUGACCUUCCCAAGCCUGAUAAACAUGUAAAGUUCGAAUCUUGACACUCAUGGGACGUCUAGGAGGCUUCACUUGAUGAUUUAGCUCGAAAAGUAACAUCCUUAGCUCACCACCUCCAUAUCUCAACAUAAAGCAAGCUG